rnacentral:rRNA from 1 species
CCUACGGGUGGCUGCAGUGAGGACUAUUGGUCAAUGGGCGGGAGCCUGAACCAGCCAAGUCGCGUGAGGGAUGACGGCCCUAUGGGUUGUAAACCUCUUUUGCCGGGGCACAAAGAGUCGCACGUGUGCGGGUUGGAGAGUACCCGGAGAAAAAGCAUCGGCUAACUCCGUGCCAGCAGCCGCGGUAAUACGGAGGAUGCGAGCGUUAUCCGGAUUUAUUGGGUUUAAAGGGUGCGUAGGCGGACGCUUAAGUCAGCGGUAAAAUUGCGGGGCGCAACCUCGUCGAGCCGUUGAAACUGGCUGCCUCGAGUGGGCGAGAAGUACGCGGAAUGCGUGGGGUAGCGGUGAAAUGCAUAGAUAUCGCGCAGAACUCCGAUUGCGAAGGCAGCGUACCGGCGCCCAACUGACGCUGAAGCACGAAGGCGUGGGUAUCGAACAGGAUUAGAUACCCGAGUAGUC